GAUGAACGCUAGCGGCAUGCCUAAUACAUGCAAGUCGAACGAGAUACAACUUUGUAUCUAGUGGCGAACGGGUGAGUAACACGUAUUUGAUCUACCCCAGUGGGAGUAACAAUGGAACGAUUGAUAAUACCGCAUAUGACAUAAAUUACUUUUUAUUGUUGAAAGGAGCGUCAGCUUCGCUUGUGGAUGAGAAUGCGGCGUAUUAGUUAGUUGGUGGGGUAAAGUAGCCUACCAAGACAAUGAUACGUAGCCGAACUGAGAGGUUGAUCGGCC
rnacentral:rRNA from 1 species